rnacentral:tRNA from 1 species
GGCUUGGUAGUCUAGUGGUCUAUGAUUCCCGCUUUGGGUGCGGGGGGUCCCGAGUUCAAAUCUCGGCCAAGCCC